UACGAAGGGGGCUAGCGUUGUUCGGAAUUACUGGGCGUAAAGCGCACGUAGGCGGAUAUUUAAGUCAGGGGUGAAAUCCCAGAGCUCAACUCUGGAACUGCCUUUGAUACUGGGUAUCUGGAGUAUGGAAGAGGUGAGUGGAAAUUCCGAGUGUAGAGGUGAAAAUUCGUAGAUAUUCGGAGGAACACCAGUGGCGAAGGCGGCUCACUGGUCCAUUACUGACGCUGAGGUGCGAAAGCGUGGGGAGCAAACAGGG
rnacentral:rRNA from 1 species